AGGAUGAACGCUAGCGGCGCGCUUAAUGCAUGCAAGUCGAGCGAUGAGGCCUACUUCGGUAGGUACAUCAGCGGCAGACGGGUGAGUAACACGUAGGUGACCUGCCCUUGAGUCGGGGAUAACAGUUGGAAACGGCUGCUAAUACCGGAUAGGCUCUCUCGGUCAAAGGAGAGAGGAAAGCUCUUCGGAGCGCUGAAGGAGGGGCCUGCGGCCCAUCAGCUAGUUGGUGAGGUAACGGCUCACCAAGGCCAAGACGGGUAGGGGGUGUGAGAGCACGGCCCCCCACAAUGGGACUGAGACACGGCCCAUACUCCUGCGGGAGGCAGCAGCAGGGAAUAUUGCACAAUGGACGGAAGUCUGAUGCAGCGACGCCGCGUGAAUGACGAAGGCCUUCGGGUUGUAAAAUUCUUUUGUGGGGGACGAGAACGGACGGUACCCCGCGAAUAAGCGUCGGCUAACUACGUGCCAGCAGCCGCGGUAAGACGUAGGACGCAGGCGUUAUCCGGAUUUACUGGGCGUAAAGCGUCUGUAGGCGGUUGGGUAAGUUGGGCGUGAAAGCUCCGUGCUCAACGCGGAGAGGCCGCACAAGACUACCGAACUAGAGGAUGACAGAGGGGCGUGGAAUUCCCGGUGUAGCGGUAAAAUGCGCAGAUAUCGGGAGGAACACCAGUGGCGCAAGCGGCGCCCUGGGUCAUACCUGACGCUGAGAGACGACAGCUAGGGGAGCGAACAGGAUUAGAGACCCUGGUAGUCCUAGCCGUAAACGAUGGAUGCUAGGUGUAGGACGGAAGCGUUCUGUGCCGCAGUUAACGCGGUAAGCAUCCCGCCUGGGGAUUACGGUCGCAGGGCUAAAACUCAAACGAAUUGACGGGGACCCGCACAAGCAGCGGAGCGUGUGGUUUAAUUCGAUGCUACACGAAGAACCUUACCUGGGUUUGACAUGUAAGUGGUAACGAAGCGAAAGCGGAGCGACCCUUCGGGGAGCUUACACAGGUGCUGCAUGGCUGUCGUCAGCUCGUGCCGUGAGGUGUCGGGUUAAGUCCCGUAACGAGCGCAACCCUUGCCCUUAGUUAUACGUGUCUAGGGGGACUGCCGGCGGGAAGCCGGAGGAAGGCGGGGAUGACGUCAAGUCAGCAUGGCCCUUAUAUCCAGGGCUACACACACGCUACAAUGGUUCGUACAAAGGGCAGCGAAGCCGCGAGGUGGAGCGAAUCUCAACAAAGCGAAUCGUAGUUCGGAUUGCAGGCUGCAACUCGCCUGCAUGAAGCUGGAGUUGCUAGUAACCGCGCGUCAGCCAUAGUGCGGUGAAUACGUUCCCGGGUCUUGUACACACCGCCCGUCACGUCAUGGAAGUCGGUAACGCCUGAAGCCGGUAGCCUAGCCCACACGGGGGGGCGCUGUCGAGGGCGGGAUCGG
rnacentral:rRNA from 1 species